AGUGGGGAAUCUUGGACAAUGGGCGAAAGCCUGAUCCAGCGACGCCGCGUGGGUGAUGAAGGCCUUCGGGUUGUAAAGCCCUUUCGACGGGGACGAUGAUGACGGUACCCGGCGAAGAAGCACCGGCUAACUCCGUGCCAGCAGCCGCGGUAAGACGGAGGGUGCUAGCGUUGUUCGGAAUCACUGGGCGUAAAGGGCGCGUAGGCGGCUUUGGCAGUCGGCUUGUGAAAGCCCGGGGCUCAACCCCGGAGGUGCGGCCGAUACACCAAGGCUGGAGGCCGGAAGAGGAGGGUGGAAUACCCAGUGUAGAGGUGAAAUUCGUAGAUAUUGGGUGGAACACCGGUGGCGAAAGCGGCUCUCUGGUCCGGUUCUGACGCUGAGGCGCGAAAGCGUGGGGAGCAAA
rnacentral:rRNA from 1 species